rnacentral:sRNA from 1 species
UUCUAGCCCUGAUCGAAACGACAUCCUUUUGCGAAACAAAGUGGAGCAAAAGAUACAGUGGCGAGCAGGUUUCCGG